AAUCAACGCUGGCGGCGUGCCUCAGACAUGCAAGUCGAACGCUGCUGUUCGCCUUCGGGUGGACAGCGGAGUGGCGCACGGGUGAGUAACACGUAGGUAAUCUACCUUUGGGUGGGGAAUAACAGCCGGAAACGGCUGCUAAUACCGCAUAAUGCAGCGGCAUCACAUGAUGACAGUUGUUAAAGCGAGGGAUCGUAAGACCUCGCGCCUGAAGAGGAGCCUGCGGCAGAUUAGGUAGUUGGUGAGGUAAUGGCUCACCAAGCCUGCGAUCUGUAACCGGCCUGAGAGGGCGGUCGGUCACACUGACACUGACAUACGGGUCAGACUCCUACGGGAGCAGCAGUCGGGAAUUUUGGG
rnacentral:rRNA from 1 species